CAACUUUCAACAACGGAUCUCUUGGCUCUCGCAUCGAUGAAGAACGCAGCGAAAUGCGAUAAGUAAUGUGAAUUGCAGAAUUCAGUGAAUCAUCGAAUCUUUGAACGCACCUUGCGCUCCUUGGUAUUCCGAGGAGCAUGCCUGUUUGAGUGUCAUCG
rnacentral:rRNA from 1 species